AGCAGGGACUCAAAUCCCAGGGCUGCAUUGAAAGGUAGCUGGGUAGUGCUUAAAAGCAAAGACUGUAGAGCCAGAGCGCCUGGGUGAAAGUCCCAGCCCUUCCACUAUUAUUAGUCUGAACUUUAAUUUUCCCAUCUGUAAAGUGGGACAGUAAUACUACUUCUUCCACAGGUGACUGUGGUGAUGGAAGCCAAGGCACUUAGAAUGGUAUCUGACAUAUAGCUCUAUGUACAUGUGCACUUUGUAUUAUUAUUAUUUGCUGUUAAGAAAAAUGAACAUGGCUGUAGGUACCUGGAUAAUAGGGAGAAAAGCACUGUCAGUUCAGAUGGAACAUUCUCCAUCGAAGUUGGCAGCCUGAGCCUGUAGACAUACAGACUCAAUGUCUCCCAAAUCUUCCAGUGUGUCCGAAGAAGCCAAAAAUCCAGAUUUUGCAUGACAUCUUCUAAUUUGUAAAUACUGACAAUAAAUUUUUUAAAAAUGUUAAACACUGGGCAAAACAGAAGUCAGUCGUCCUGAUCCAGCUGGGAGCCUCCAGACUGCCUCGUCUACUCAUAUACUCCCUCCUGUCACCGUAGAAUGGACGAGAUCCAAGCUAUGCAGCUGCCAUUAAAUACAGAGACUAUGUUUCGCAGCAUCCUUUGCAACUAGCCUGGAAACCAGAUGCUGCCAUCUUAGACCAUGAAGGAGAAGCCAUGCAUGAUAGAGCAAGGAGAAAAAAGGAUCCUGGGUUCCUGACACCGUGGAGAGCUUUACCAGCCCUGGACUGCUCCUGUGACUUUUUAAUUAAUUGAGAUAUAAUUUAUAUACAGUUUUAUAUAUGAAAAAAAUCCUGCAUUCAUAUAGAGUAUACUAUUCAGUGUGUUCUGACAGUUGUAUACAUCUGUGUAACCACCAACAGAACCAAGAUUCAGAACACUUCUAUCAUCCCCAAAAGAUUUCCAUGCCCCUUUGCCAUUCACCGCUCCCUCUACUCCCAGCAUGAGACAACCACUGACCUGCUUUCUGUCACUAUAGACUAGUUUUAAUGUUCUAGAACUUUAUAUAAAUGGAAUCAUACAGUAUAUACUUACUUUUUUGUCUAGCUUCUUUUAUUCAACGUAAUUAUUUAGAGAUUCGUCCAUGUUGUUAUCAAUAGUUCUUUCCUUCUUAUUGCUGAGUAGUAUUCUAUUGUAUGAAUAUACCACACCUUGUUUAAUCCAUUCACCAGUUGACAUUUGUGUUGUCGACUGUUUGGGCCUAUUACAAACAAAGCUGUUUUUAAUGAACAUUUAUGUACUAAUCUCUGUGUAGACACAUGAUUCAUUUCUCUAGGUAAAUAUCAAGGAGUGGAAUGUCUGGGUCAUAUAGUAGGUGUCUAUUUAACAAUAUGAGAAACAGCCAAUUUUCC